UACAGAGGUCUCAAGCGUUGUUCGGAUUCAUUGGGCGUAAAGGGCGCGUAGGCUGCGGGGCAAGUCGGGUGUGAAAUCUCAGAGCUCAACUCUGAAACUGCACUCGAUACUGCUUUGCUUGAGGACUGGAGAGGAGAUUGGAAUUCACGGUGUAGCAGUGAAAUGCGUAGAUAUCGUGAGGAAGACCAGUGGCGAAGGCGGAUCUCUGGACAGUUCCUGACGCUGAGGCGCGAAGGCCAGGGGGAGCAAACGGG
rnacentral:rRNA from 1 species